UACGUAGGGUGCGAGCGUUAAUCGGAAUUACUGGGCGUAAAGCGUGCGCAGGCGGUGACCCAAGUCAGAUGUGAAAAUCCCCGGGCUUAACCUGGGAACUGCAUUUGUGACUGCACGGCUAGAGUGUGUCAGAGGGGGGUAGAAUUCCACGUGUAGCAGUGAAAUGCGUAGAUAUGUGGAGGAAUACCGAUGGCGAAGGCAGCCCCCUCGGGAGUAACACUGACGCUCAUGCACGAAAGCGUGGGGA
rnacentral:rRNA from 1 species